rnacentral:lncRNA from 1 species
AGAUGACCUUUGCCAAGAGCACAGCCGUCUUUCACGGUCACAGAGAGGUAGGACAAAAUGAGUGGUGUUCAAGAAUUGGUUUGUAGCACAAUAUUUCAACUAUGUCCUUUAAAAAGUUUCUCCACAGACACUACCCAAAGCAGUGCUUCACUACAGUGGCAGACAGACCUGAAAAUUUUCAUCUGAAGCAGCAGAGUGAACUGCAGAGGCAGGUCACCAACCAGUGUGGAGGCUAAAAGCGGGCCUCUUUGGGGAUUCCAGGUGGAAGUGUUGGACAUCUGUAGUAUUCCUGGUCUCGAAUCAUCCUGAUAUUCUUCAUUUUGUUAUUCACAUUGGACUAGGCAGGAACAAAGAUCACCACAACUGGCUCCCCUUCAACUAUGUUAGAUGGCAACUUGCCUUCAGUAUGGUGAAACACAUCAGUUAAGACCGGGGUUGUGCAUGGCAGGACUUUCUACAAGGACACCCAGUCUCCUUAAUAAACAUGAGAUGCUCUCUUUCCAGAAUUUCUCUUGCCUGACACAGCAUAGGAAGAUGCUGAACGGCCACACAGUGAUCCAUUGGUCAGUGGUGACAUAAGGAGGUCAGAGGGGAGGAGUGAGGAGAAGUAGGGAAGACUAGGUGGUUGUAGGCCUCCUUCAUCUGUUCAUUGGCUGUGGCAUUAGGCCAGCUACUCUUUGCACUUCUGUAAAGUGAGACGGUCGAUCUUGUCUGCCUCUCUAGAGGAUGGUUGCAGGUGUCAAAUGGGGUAGUUAGGUGGGAGGGCAUUUCACAAAGUUAAAAAAUAUGACUUUGGAGGCUUGUUAUAUUGAUGAGGAUUAUAAUCCCUGAGAAUUC